CACAGUGGCCGUGUUCAUGCUGAAGAUCUUCAUGUCGCUGGUGGUCGGUAUCACCAGCGGGGUGUGGGUUUGGAGCUCCAAGACCCUGCAGACCUGGCAGGGCCUGUGCAGCAGGAAGCUGGCAGACAGGACUAGUAGUAGGAAACCCUGCAGCGGUGUCAGCUGCGGCAGCACACACUGCCACUACAAAUCUCCUGCUGUGGUUCUGCACAUGGCCAAGACUGACCUGCACUCAGACAACCCCACACACGUCUGAGAUUGAGCACACACACACACACACACACACACCUUUGCCCUGUGUAAGGAGCUGCUAAAAGACUUAAUAUGAAGAUGAGGCAUUGAAUUGAACUGUCACUUACUUCUGUGCUGCUGCCAAGGGACACAAAGCUACACCAUGAGAAACUAUAAACAGUAUUCAGUGCAUAAAGGGAAAAAUGUUCAGUAUUGCUAUCCAUAUGUUUCCUGUUCAUAGUGUUCUGUGCAGUUGACAUGCCGGUGUUGCCAAGAGAGGAAAAAAAGAGACUCGUAGGGGAGCAGGACUGCUGCCGCGUGUGUUGUCUUCCAAAGCGCAGGCUACAUCCCAGAGGCGUCCCCGACAAUAAUCCUCAAAGAGAAUUGCUGAUGAAUAGAGUGACAAACCGUGCGUCAUCCACUGACACUAAAGACCACAAGCAACAGGAAGUGACUGCACCUUUCAGACACCUGGAAACCAAUGAACAGCCACAACCUGUGGGAGAGAACUCUUCUACAGCCAAUCACAGUCCAUCUGGGAGCGACUGCAAUCACUCAGAUAAUUACAGUAUAUCUAAAUUAUAAAUUCAGAGAGAUUGCCAACACACUGCAAUCAGUUUGAGUCGGUCUGUGCAAUGGCAGCUCAUCUCUUUGCAAUAGGAAUGCAAGUUUCUGGUUGGACACUGAAGUAGUUAAUGUGAAUUUCUGCUUAAUGGGAUUAUCUAUGUAUGUAGACAUCAGAUUUUCAAUUUUGAAUGAUGUAUUAAGAGUAAAACUGCUGUAUUAUCACAAACAGAUUGCAUGCUAUUAUCAACUUGACCCCAUUCAAACACAAACUGAUCGCAGACUCCAUCUUUUAUCAUCUUCCUGAUGCAUCCAAGUUACUUUGAGGAGGACAACUGAGUGAUCACAGACCUGGUCCCUGUCUUUGAAGCAAUCAUUUCAAAUGCAACGAGACUACAAGUCCAUUGUUUCCCUAGUGCUUAAUAUCCAAUCUGCCCACAUUGGAUCUUUGGGUUCUCGAGUUGUUCCUAUUCCAGGGAUGAAAAAAUGACUAUGUUUUGUAAAAUCCACUCUUUGUCCUUUGUGACAUACAAAGUUAUAGAAUUAGUGACACAGAGCUACAAUCAUUAUUCUCAAACGGGCGAGUUGCUGUUCUGAAAGGGUGUAUUUUAACUCACCCUAUGAUCUUUUACGAGAGUGAA
rnacentral:lncRNA from 1 species